UAUUUUGACUAUACGAAGGUAUUGAAAUAAGAUUUUAAAUGAGUGCUAAGAGAAUGAUUAAACAAUUAAAAGCUUUCUUUAAUUGAAUAAUUGAAUUUAAUUUUUUAGUGCAAAAGCAAAAAUAAAAAUUAGGGACAAGAAGACCCUAUGAAUUUUUUAUUAAAUUUUAUAAAACUUUAUAUAAAGUUUAAUUUAAUUGGGGUGAUGGAAAAAGAAUAAAUAUCUUUUUUUUAAAAAAAAUUGGUUCCGUUUUUAGCGAUUAAAUGAAAAAAAUA
rnacentral:rRNA from 1 species